rnacentral:rRNA from 1 species
GACGAACGCUGGCGGCGGGCUUAACACAUGCAAGUCGAACGGAAAGGCCCUGCUUUUGUGGGGUGCUCGAGUGGCGAACGGGUGAGUAACACGUGAGUAACCUGCCCUUGCCUUUGGGUUAGCGUCAGGAAACUGGGGCUAUUACCGGAUAGGAGCUCCUGCUGCAUGGCGGGGGUUGGAAAGUUUCGGCGGUUGGGGAUGGACUCGCGGCUUUUCAGCUUGUUGGUGGGGUACUGGCUUACCAAGGCUUUGACGGGUAGCCGGCCUGAGAGGGUGACCGGACACAUUGGGACUGAGGUACGGCCCAGACUCCUGAGGGAGGAAGCGGUGGGAAUGAUUGCACGAUGGGCGGAAGCGUGAUGCAGCAACGCCGCGUGAGGGAUGACGGCCUUCGGGUUGUAAACCGCUUUAGCCUGUGACGAAGCGUGAGUGACGGUAAUGGGUAAAGAAGCACCGGCUAACUACGUG